rnacentral:snoRNA from 1 species
AUCUCAUGAUUUGGGCAUUGGGCUAGCUUUCCAUUAAACCUCUCCCAUGCUUCAAGCAAUGGUUCCCCAUUUAAUUUUCAGAAGUUUACAAUCACAUCCCUCAUUU